rnacentral:lncRNA from 1 species
CCUUUCUGUAGAUCAAGUCUCAGUCUUUUAUCAUUUUUUUGGAAUAAAUAAAUUGCUUCCUCCUAGAUAUACCUAAAAAGAUCCAGUCCAGCAUAGCAUCAAAUCUUCAGACUUUUCUUCAACUUAAUCCUUCUCUGGGCCCCAGUUCUAGUCCUCUUUAGCACUGCAUGCUUGCAGGUGGGAUAGGUGCUAUGAGCCCUUCUCUCUCUCUCUCUCUUUUUUUUUUCAGCCUCCUCCACUAAGGAGCUGCAAUAUUGGUCCUGCCGAUUCUGAAGCAGUGGUUGGAGGGCAAAGAAAUAAGAAGCCAUGAAGUUUUAUUUGAAUUGAAGCUAUGUAAUCUGCGUUUGGCUGCUUCUGUGUGUUUCCAUGGGAAUCUUUGAAAAGCAACUGACUACAGCUGAAUCUAUAUGUGUUCUAACAAGAUCAGAUUCAAUUAAAGAUCUGAUGCAUCUGCUCCUCGUGGUUUAUGAAAAAAAUCAACAUGAAUUUAUUGAAUAAUUAAUAUGUACAGAUUAUGCAAACUGUCUGUGAGAAAUUCAAAACCCAAGGAAGCUCCUGCCUGUGUUUUCAUAUCGCAAUAAGAACUGAAGCUAGGCACAUAUUCACCAACAUGAGGGAAUUAAAAUUGGACAACCCUUUCUUACCCACAAUCAAAUUCCAGAGAAACCAAUUGUGAUGCUAAUGAAGGAAAUAGUCAUGGACUUCAUAUUUCUCUAAGUAUUUUCAUGCCCAUCCAUUUGUGGAUUGCAAUAUUUUCCUAACCCAGCUGUUUUUCUGAGUCACUGCCUCUGCCCCAUCCUCUUAGAUGUGACACAGAACAUUUUAAUCAGAGAAGCAAAAAGCUUGUUUUGCUGUUAGAACUAAUGAGUUUCCAAUUGAUAAAUUACAUUAAAUAGUAAAGAUCACAUCAAUAAAUGUCUUGUCCUAAGAUAUUAAAAAAUUAACAUGAAGCCA